rnacentral:rRNA from 1 species
CAAAUUUUGAUCUGAAAUCAGGUAGGAUUACCCGCUGAACUUAAGCAUAUCAAUAAGCGGAGGAAAAGAAACUAACAAGGAUUCCCUCAGUAACGGCGAGUGAAGCGGGAAGAGCUCAAAUUUAAAAUCUGGUUUGCUUGCAAGCCCGAGUUGUAGUCUGAAGAAACGUUUUCCAUAAGCACUGAGGCAAAAGUCCCUUGGAACAGGGCAUCAUAGAGGGUGAGAAUCCCGUCCAUGGUCUCAAGUUGUUUAUUUUGUGAUACGUUUUCAAAGAGUCAGGUUGUUUGGGAAUGCAGCCUAAAAUGGGUGGUAAAUUUCAUCUAAAGCUAAAUAUUGGCGAGAGACCGAUAGCGAACAAGUACCGUGAGGGAAAGAUGAAAAGAACUUUGAAAAGAGAGUUAAACAGUACGUGAAAUUGUUGAAAGGGAACCGUUUGAAGCCAGUCUUACUUGCCUGUGAUCAAUUUUUGCCUCGGCAUGAAUGCACUCUCGGGUAUGGUAGGCCAACGACAGUUUGGAAUGCGAGAAAAAAAUAAGGGAAAUGUGGCCUUCGGGUGUUAUAGUCCUUUAUAAAAUAUCGUGUUCUGGACUGAGGAUCGCAGCAAAAAUGUGGGCAGGUGGAUUUCUGUGGUAACUGUCGGUUAGGACAACUUGUUGACCUAGUCUUCCUUAGCCUCACUAUUUACCUUGCUUCUAAUUUGCUUAGGUCGUUGGCAUAAUGGCUUUAAAUGACCCGUCUUGAAACACGGACCAAGGAGUCUAACAUAUAUGCGAGUAUUUGGGUGGCAAACCCAUAUGCGCAAUGAAAGUGAAAUUAGGUGCCAAACCUUCACGGGUGGCAGCAUCGGCCGGCUCUGACGUUUUAACUGACGAGUCUGAGCAGAAGCAUACAUGUUGGGACCCGAAAGAUGGUGAACUAUGCCUGAAUAGGGUGAAGCCAGAGGAAACUCUGGUGGAGGCUCGUAGCGAUUCUGACGUGCAAAUCGAUCGUCAAAUUUGGGUAUAGGGGCGAAAGACUAAUCG